rnacentral:rRNA from 1 species
CCCAGACUCCUACGGGAGGCAGCAGUGAGGAAUAUUGGUCAAUGGGCGCGAGCCUGAACCAGCCAAGUCGCGUGAGGGAUGAAGGAUCUAUGGUUCGUAAACCUCUUUUAUAAGGGAAUAAAGUGCGGGACGCGUCCCGCUUCGCAUGUACCUUAUGAAUAAGGAUCGGCUAACUCCGUGCCAGCAGCCGCGGUAAUACGGAGGAUCCGAGCGUUAUCCGGAUUUAUUGGGUUUAAAGGGUGCGUAGGCGGACUUUUAAGUCAGCGGUGAAAGUCUGUGGCUCAACCAUAGAAUUGCCGUUGAAACUGCAUCCCUUGAGUGCGCGAGAAGUAUGCGGAAUGCGUGGUGUAGCGGUGAAAUGCAUAGAUAUCACGCAGAACUCCGAUUGCGAAGGCAGCAUACCGGCGCGCAACUGAUGCUCAUGCACGAAAGUGUGGGUAUCGAACAGGAUUAGAUACCCCAGUA